UACAGAGGUCCCAAGCGUUGUUCGGAUUCACUGGGCGUAAAGGGUGCGUAGGCGGUCGGGUAAGUCUGAUGUGAAAUCUCACAGCUUAACUGUGAAACUGCAUUGGAUACUAUCCGGCUAGAGGAAUGGAGGGGAGACUGGAAUACUUGGCGUAGCAGUGAAAUGCGUAGAUAUCAAGUGGAACACCAGUGGCGAAGGCGAGUCUCUGGAUAUUUCCUGACGCUGAGGCACGAAAGCUAGGGGAGCAAACAGG
rnacentral:rRNA from 1 species